rnacentral:tRNA from 1 species
GUCUUCGUGGUGAAUUGGUCAGCAAUCUGGGCGCGUAUUCCAGAGGUCCGUGGUUCGAGUCCCGGCGAAGGCA